GACGUAGGGCGCGAGCGUUGUCCGGAUUUAUUGGGCGUAAAGGGCUCGUAGGCGGCCAACUAAGUCAGACGUGAAAUCCCCAGGCUCAACCUGGGAACUGCGUCUGAUACUGGAUGGCUUGAAUUCGGGAGAGGGAUGCAGAAUUCCAGGUGUAGCGGUGAAAUGCGUAGAUAUCUGGAGGAAUACCGGUGGCGAAGGCGGCAUCCUGGACCGACAUUUGACGCUGAGGAGCGAAAGCUAGGGGAGCAAACGGGG
rnacentral:rRNA from 1 species